UUGAUUUUAUAGAAUUUAUUUAUUAAUUUUAUUUUUUAUUAAUAUAAUUUAUUAAAAAUAAUUAUAUAAUUUUAAUGUUUAAGUAAUUUUUAAUGAAAAAAUAAUUUUUAUGAUAGUUAAAUAUGUAUUGUGAAAGAAUGUUGAAAUAUUUUGAAAAAUUUUUAUUAAAAAAGAAAAUUUUUUUUAUUGUACCUUGUGUAUCAGGGUUUAUUAAAUAAUUAAUAUUUAUUUAUUAAUCUCGAUUUUAUAAGAGUUAAUAAUUUAUAAAAUUUAAUGUAUUAAAAUUUUUUUUAAUAAAUUAUUAGAAAUGAAAUGUUAUUCGUUUAUAAAGGUAUCUAGUUUUUUUAGAAAUAAAUUUAAUUUACAAUUUUUUAAUUUUUUAUUUGUUUUUUAAAAUGAAAAAAUUAUUUAAUUGAAUAUUUUAAGGGAUAAGCUUUAAAAUAAAUUGUUAAAAAUUAAUAAUUAUUUUAUAAAAUGUAUGUGUAGAAUUAGCAAUCAUUUAUGAGUUUGUUAUAAAUUAUUUUAUUUAGUUUACAUUAUUUAUUAAUAUUUUAAAUAUUUAUAAAAAUUUUUUUUAUAAUAUAAUUAUGAAAAGUAAUAAUGAUAAAAUUAGUAUAUUUUAUUGUUUAUAUAAUUUCAUUAUGAUAAGUUUAUAUAAAGAAUUCGGCAAAAAUUUUAUACUCGCCUGUUUAACAAAAACAUGUCUUUUUGAGUUAUUUUUAAAGUCUAACCUGCCCACUGAAUUUUAUUAAAUGGCCGCAGUAUUUUAACUGUGCAAAGGUAGCAUAAUCAUUAGUCUUUUAAUUGAAGGCUGGAAUGAACGGUUGGACGAAGUAUAANCUGUUUCAUAUAAAUUUAUAAUAGAAUUUUAUAUUUUAGUUAAAAAGCUAAAAUUUUAUUAAAAGACGAGAAGACCCUAUAAAUCUUUAUAUUUUAUACUAAUUAAAUUUUAUUGAAGAUUUUUAUUUUUGUAGUAUAAAAUAUUUUGUUGGGGUGAUAUUAAAAUUUGAUUAACUUUUAAUUAAAUUAAAUCAUUAAUUUAUGAUUAAUUGAUCCAUUAAUAGUGAUUAUAAGAUUAAGUUACUUUAGGGAUAACAGCGUAAUUUUUUUGGAGAGUUCUUAUCGAUAAAAAAGUUUGCGACCUCGAUGUUGGAUUAAGAGAUAUUUUUAGGUGUAGCCGCUUAAAUAUAAAGUCUGUUCGACU
rnacentral:rRNA from 1 species